AGUGGACGCUGGCGGUAGGCCUAACGCAUGCAAGUCGAACGGCAGCACAGUAAGAGCUUGCUCUUACGGGUGGCGAGUGGCGGACGGGUGAGGAAUACAUCGGAAUCUACUUUUUCGUGGGGGAUAGCGUAGGGAAACUUACGCUAAUACCGCAUACGACCUACGGGUGAAAGCAGGGGAUCUUCGGACCUUGCGCGAUUGAAUGAGCCGAUGUCGGAUUAGCUAGUUGGCGGGGUAAAGGCCCACCAAGGCGACGAUCCGUAGCUGGUCUGAGAGGAUGAUCAGCCACACUGGAACUGAGACACGGUCCAGACUCCUACGGGAGGCAGCAGUGGGGAAUAUUGGACAAUGGGCGCAAGCCUGAUCCAGCCAUACCGCGUGGGUGAAGAAGGCCUUCGGGUUGUAAAGCCCUUUUGUUGGGAAAGAAAAGCAGCAGGUUAAUACCCCGCUGUUCUGACGGUACCCAAAGAAUAAGCACCGGCUAACUUCGUG
rnacentral:rRNA from 1 species